rnacentral:lncRNA from 1 species
UUUCUGUCGCCAAUAAACAUAGAUUUUUAGGAAAAUUUGAUGGGAACAAGCUUGAUUGUCUAAUAUGUUAUCCUUUGAAAAGGUGAUUAAUGUAUCAUCGGCUCUUCUUUAAUUACUUUACAGCAUAUGUUUUUAUGCAACACCACAUAGUCCCACUAUAUUGUUAAUGUAUACUGUUCCACGAGUGAUCUGCCUAUUUGAAAACUAUAUGGAACAAAAAAUAGGAGCUUGCCCAAACGUUAGAGAAACAACUUGUUUGAGCAGCGUAAACCAAGCAAAGAUUGGAUCGUCCAACGGACCUCAGCCACGUCAAGUUACUUAAUUCACCAUAGGAACUCGUUUCCUUGUGGGCUCGUUACUUUUUUUAACAAUUGGACACGCGCCCUACUGUAGCUUAGAUGCGGCUUUUUUGCUUUCGUGGGCGGAUUGAUUGGUACUUCACUAUGCAUGAUGUGUGGGACAGGGGGCCAUAUCUUCACCUGUGGCCGCUACCCGGCGAAACCCUGCCUUCCCCGGUAUUUCGGGGCACCCUCAUCUAGUCG